rnacentral:lncRNA from 1 species
AUCAUCAUAAGUGCCUACAAGUAUCAUCACCUCAGCUUAGGAGGUAUCACCACUAGCAACUACAUUGCUAUUUUCGAUACCAUCACAAAAACUCUAGUGAUACCUGGUACCUAUAUGGUAUCAGAUAAGACCUGGAUGUGGGUCAUCGAUCUUCCUAUCGGUCCAGAGGUUAUGCGCCAGCUUGGGAAAGAAAAAAGCAAGAGGGAUGAAUUGGAUGGUGUUGUGCUAUGUGGGCGUUGGCACCAAGGUCAGCGUUUCGCGCUCAUCGGGGGAUAUGAGCAGGCAAGGUGGUGCUGCAUGCUGAAAAUCGGGAAUCAGGAUGGAGAACUAGUUCUUGUGCAAUUUGACAUUGGUGGUGUCACCAUCUUCUCGCUAAUGUCUCCGUUGAGGAAGGGACAGAUCGAUGGGGACGUCAAGGUUGACGCUGAGCACGUUGGUGUUGAUAGCCACGACGUCCAGGAUAGCCAGGCUGGUGAUGAGCGGGCAGCAUAG